UGCUAAGUAUCCGUACAGGUACCAUGUUGUUCUUUGGUGCCACAAGAGUCUUCCCGAUGAUGAUGUUUUCGGAACUUUGCUCAACUUCUGGUUCAACCAUGAGGUAUCGAUGGCUUCCAAAGUUCCCCUUUAACUUGGUCCACACAAAAACUUCUGAAGAAGGAGGCAGGCACAUGUCUUCUUUGAUGAUAGUUCUAAUUGUUGUCGAGUUUUCGUUGCCAUAGACCAUUGGAAUCUCUACAUUUCUGUAUUUCAGGACUUGAUUACCUAUAUCCAAAAUGAUUCCAUGCUCCUUCAUGAAGUCGAUUCCAAUGAUGCACUCGUCACAUAUAUCUGCCACCAAAAACACAUGUGAAAACUCUAGUUCAGCUAUACGGAUCGUAAGACGAACUUCUCCGUACACUCUUGCUGCUUCUCCUGUGGCGGUCUUCAGACGGUAGCUGUUGGUGUUAUGUAGCCAUGUCAUCUUCACCAAGUCUCUUCGUACAAUGGAGGCGGUGGCACCGGUGUCAAUUGUAGCCACGUGUUGUUUGUUGUUUAUGGUUGCCUCCACUGUCAGACUUUUGUUGUCUCGUUUAGUCUGUGAGACUUGAAUUGUGGUUCUGGGGCCAUCGAUACCAGAAACCAGCUUCUGCCGGGAAUCAAGAUGAGCAUGAGUGUUAGUUGUAUCGCUUACCUGUUGUUGGGCAAUAUUCCUGUUUCCACAGUGUUCGCAAGCAGUUCUUCUUGGUGGCAAUCUGCACUGCCGCUGGAGAUGUCCGGUCUUGUUACAGUUCCAGCAUCGAGCAGCUCCGUCUCGCUGGUUUCUUUGGAAUGCGAGUUUUUGACAAGAGCAUUCCUCCACUGAAACUUCUCUUACCCGAUGAACGCCUUGAGAAGCCUGUUCUGCUGCUUCCAUAGUUAGUGCAAAUGCUAAUGCUUCAGGAAGGGAACGUUUUCCAGCUGUUCGUAUCGCUCGCUGAAGAUUUAUGUCAGAUACAGCACGAACAAAGGCUUCUGUCGCAAACUGAUUGAUAAUGUCGUCUCCUGCUGUCGGAUAUGCCAGAUGAGCUAACCUUUCAAUAUCAGCUUGGAGUUGUUGCAGAGUUUCUCCUCUUUUUUGGACUCUUGUAUUGAGUUGGACGCGGAAGACCUCCUGCAUAUGCCCAUCUCCAAAACGUUUUUCAAUGACCUGGACAAGAGCUUUAAAGUUACCAUUCUUUUCUGGUGGUAAAGUUUGCAACAACUCAGCAGCAGGACCUCUAAGAGCAAGAGUCAGCGCUAUACAUUUGUCUUCUUCAUCCCAGCCAUUAGUUGUGGCAGCUGCUUCAAACUGUUUCUUGUAGAUUGACCAAGAACUUUGUCCAUCAAAGGUUGGUGGAUGCAUUUCCUUUUUCUUUGGAUACUCAACAGAACUUUCUCGGAUCUUAAUUUUCCGAACCUUGUCAAGUUCUUCAGUGAUACUUUGCAUUUUAACUUCCAUUUUUUCAAAUUUGUCAUCCACUUUCUCGAACUUUCCUUCUACUUUUUCGAGUUUUUCUUCAACUUUCUCGAACUUUUCUUGAGAUUGCUUUUCAACGCAUUUGAUGGAAGCAUCAAGAGCAACGAACUUGUUCUCAAUCGCGUCAAGCUUACCUUGGAUGAUGUUUUUCUGUUCAUCUAAUUUUUCGAGAAGAUUUUUCUGUUCAUCCUUCUGUUCAUUACGUUGUUCUUCCAAUUUGGCAAGGAGAACAGCCAUCAUGGACGACAUAUCGGAAGUAUUACUUACUUGUUCUUCUGUCAUUUCAAUUUCGAAUUGAAAUGUAUCCAAAUUUUCGUUCUUCUGGGUUAAAUAAUCCUGCAGGCGAAUAAUGAGGUCAUUUUUCGAUCCAGCAGUAGGAAGACCUCGCUUAGUUAAUUCCGCCUUCAACUCAGUCAAACUUAACUGAUUUAGUGUUUUACCCAUUUUAACUUUUUAAAACGCGAGCACUUUUACUUAUUUCAAAAUGUUUUACACUUUGUUUAUUGUUAAAACACACGCGCACUUUUUAUUUUAUUCGCGAAAUUAUCUGAUUCGCACAAAUAAAUAAGUUUUAUUCCACUUUUCUGACACCAAUGUAAUGUUUUAUUCCGGGUUCACAAUAAAACUUAUUUAAUUUCCACUUAUAUUUCCGUUCAAAUAAGAACACACUUUAUUUCAACUCAAUUUACUUUUAUUAUUCGCUCAAACAAACACACUUUUAAAUCACUUUAUUUACUACUAACAAUUCGCAACACUUUAUUUCACUUUGUACUGUACUCUUUCACUUUCAAGAUUAAACUGUCCCCGGUCGCUGUCUACGCUGCCUUUUAUACCGGAAUCUCGAGACUCGAGAACGUCCUCGAAGGCUCUCGUCCCUGCCUCUCGAAACUUCCUUUCCAGGAAGGGACACUUCAUACUUCCAGUCUAGUGGGAUAUUUUUAGAUGUGUUCAGUGAGAUAUUUUUAGAUGUGUUCAGUGAGAUAUUUUUAGAUGUGUUCAGUGGGAUAUUUUAGAUUUGUUCAGUGAGAUAAUUUUCUUAAUUACUAAAGGUCCGUUCACAUUUCUACCUUUCAGACUUUUAUCUUAAAAGUAGUUCAGUAAUUCAUCGUUACAAUAUAAAUAGAUUAUCGGAGAAAAAUUUAGAAUUGGUUUCUGUUAGAACUAAGUCAUAAAAAUAAUAAAAUUUGUCAAAAUAAAAGUGUCCUUUUUUCUUGGAUUUUUUCAAUCCACAGCUGUCAAAUUGAAAAUCUCACAGACAGGGGUGUAUUUAUUUUUGUUUGGUGAUGGUAAGGCGCUACAACCGCCGGGCGCCCUUAUGUGAAAUUAUUCUUUCCAUUUGUUAUUUUUUUCUCGCUAGCGCAAGUUUAAUGUGAAAAGAGUAUAUAAAUUGUUUUUUAGAUCAAAAAAUUAAGCUUUUUUUAAGUUUUCCAUCCAGAAAUAUGUUUGAAAAUUUUCAUUUAGGUAAGUACUUUUACACUUUUAAGGCAAUGUAGUUAAUGCUUAGAUGCCAAUAUUUUAUAUUUUUUAUUUAAAAAAACACAUAAAUAACGUGUUUCAUAAAAAACAUAAAUUUUAGAGUAGAUAAAACGUUGCGCCUUGCGAACAACCAUCUUACUACACUCCGUCCCUGGUUCAAUGCAUAUGUGUUUGUGUAAUAACACUACUUUGUAAAAAUGAAAAAAAUGCCUCACUGGUUUCUUUAAACACCCAUUCCUGUUCUUCUUAUUCUUAGUCUUUCCAAUUUAUGGAGCAAAAUUAUCGAUUUUGAUUAAUCUGCUAUCGUGCUAACCUGAAACAGGAUAAAUCUUUUUCCAUUUCUUGUCUGUGUGGCCUAAGCGUUGGCAUUUAAAAUUAAGUCAGGCAAUAUAGAAUAAGUACUGAAAAAGUUAGGACCUGCCAAAAUAUUUUUUUUUAUUUAUAAACUUCUGGUGCACCAUCAGGCGCAUAAUAUUUAUGUCGUUUUCUUUCACUCUAAUGAGAGUACCCUUUUAGUACUUAUUUUUGCACUUUUGAAGGUUUUGUGUUCCUCCACGCCACAAAAGUGAAAAAAAAAUUACUCCGGAGUAAUUUUAGUACAACGGAGUACCCCGGAUUUACUCCACAUUUUAAGUCAGAUUUACACCGAUUUUCACACGGAUUUGUACAGACACUUAUGAAUUUGAAGGUUGACAUUUUAAAAUUUUGUUUGAAAAGAGAAAAAUGCGAAGUGUUUUAUUAAAUUUCUUUUGUUAUUAACAAAAAUAACCAUUAUAAAUAUAUUUUCUAUUAUUUUAUAUUCCACCAUGUAUACUUCUUCCAUUAUUUCUUUUUGCAAAACGAAAUUGAAAACCGAAUAAAGGAAUUCUUCAGCCAGUGUUCUUCAUCAAUAAAAAAAAAUCCUGUGCCAGAUAAAAAAAAAUCCCAUAUUUUUUUCUGCUCUGGUGGGAUAUUUUUAUUUUACAAUUAUUAAACUAAGGGUGUGUGUCAAUUAGGCUGAAAAAACCGAUCAGAAGCAUAAUGAAAAAUAUACGAAAAGUAAAACUAAGUCCGCUUUUACACGAAGAUGCAAAGCGCGAGACGAACAUAAAAGCAAGGGAGAAAGACAGUUCGAAAAAACGGGAAGGAAGAUUGUCUACCGUGAGUCUCCGGUAAAAUUUUUUUUGACUAUUUUUGACGCUUCUCUUUGAUCUUUUUUUUCUGUUUUGCUUUAUUUGAUUUCGUCGGUUGCAGAGUCUGCUUCGUCGGUUUUGUAUUAUUUGCGUGUAUAGUACCUAACUUUUUUAACUUAUUCAAAUGUGUUCGUUGCACAUAGACCCCACUAUAGUUGUUUUUUUUUUUUUUAUAUUUUGGAUGCUGUUCAAAUCCUUGAAAAAUUCUAUAUGAAUAAUUGACUAAAAAAUUAUGUAGAAAUGUUUUAAAUGAAUAUUUUUUUUUUUUGAAUUUGAACUGGUGAAAAAUUGUAACGUAUACUUGUAGAGUUAAAUACAAGCAUUUUUUACUAACAGAGAGGGGGUCAAUCUCCCCCCGUUUAAGAGGGAGGGACAAUUUUCAAACAAAUUACUUAAAAUAAAGAAAAAAAUAUUUAAAAAUGACGGCAACACUCACAGUUAUGAAUGAUACCUUUUUCAAAAGCUAACGUUUUAUGCUGAAUUGUUAUUUUUAAAUCAAGUUAUUAUAAUAAAAAGUUUUUGAAAUAAUCGAUUUCCAAGUCAAAAUUUGGGUAAAAAAAGUUUAAAAAACAUAUAGAAUACUAUUUUUUUAAAAGACUGUGGAUUUCAAUGCAAAAUUGAUUGAUACAUCCAACUGUCUCAAUUGAUUCUUUUUCAAUCACUAAAAACCAUAUGUAUGUUCCUAUGCUAUCUAGUUUUUGAGAAAAUUGAAACAUUAGGAAACAACUUUUUUACCAGAUUAGCACUGGUGGUGCAGGGAAUAUAAUUUUAGAUUAAGACACCCAAACAUCAAAAAUUUGCGUCUUAAAAUUUCGAAAAUUAACACCUGUUAAUGGAAAAAAAAUCCAUACAAAAAAGUUUCAAAUUUACAUUACAAUCCUUAUAAUUUUGUUUUUGAUUAUUUCCAUAGUAGUUAUUUUUCUGGAAGGCUAGUUCGAAAAUGAAAAAAAAAAUGUAUGUGUGUCGCAGCUAUGCGCAGCCACUUAAAAUGCAAAAGGAAAGCUAAUAGGUAUAUAAAGCUUUAAAAUUAAUAUGGAUUCUCAAUGGAAUAAUGCGGAAUAAUUUUAAUUUAUCUCCAUUUAAUGUAAAAAUUAACCCAAAAAACACGAUUUUUCAACUUUUAAGCAAAGUAGCAAAGUAUUGAACAUCAUAUGAAAUGAGAUUUUACUUAAAUUGAUAUGCUCCUGUAUUAUAUUUAAUAAAAAUCACACAAAAAUUUCAAUAACAAAUUAAAAAAACACUUAAAAAACCAUAGUAACCAAAGCACCUCUAAACCUCAAUUUUACCUCAAAAAAUCACAAACUCCAACUUUACGAUCAGUUAUUUUUUGUUUGCGUUAUCUCCACCCAAAAAUCUAAUUACACUUACUUAGUACAAGGUAUUAGCUUCACAUAAAACCGGCUUUUGCUAGAUUCUUGCAAGUGAUUUUUUUAAUUAAAUUCCGCUAGAUGAGCGAUUUGUCACACUGUGCAACGGAUUCGACGGAAGAAGUAGCCCAACUUUCUACUUUUUAAUCCGUUGUAUCCUUGACUUUGGAUGUCAACAAUAGAUCAGUUCGAUUUUCUGUUUCUGAGUGCACACCGGGGAAUUUCAGAACUGAGAACUGUGUUCUUUUCUUCUCCAAUUUUAUGAAUUGUGAACUUUAAUUGUCUAUUUGUGAAGAAAAUGUUAUAAAAAAUUCAAUUUGACAAGGCCAAAGUCAUACCUAUUCAGCGAUAAAAUAUCGAACACACCUUGGAAUUUGAAGUGAGCUGUCAAAAAGCAAUCCGUCAUGCAACGUAUUCUAUGGGUCACCCCUUUCUGUACCAUCCGUCAACUUCAACGGAUUGAUUGACGGAAUGAACGCAACGGAUUCCAUGGGUUGGACUUGAAGAUAAUUUCUGCGCCUUGCGUCUUCGUGAAGAAGCAGACUUAUUAUGCCUCAUUUGCUUCAUACAUAUGUUAUUAUUAUUAAUUAGUAUUCAUUUUUUUUUUAAAUGCAAAUUGCUUAGCCCCGAUAGCGUUUUUUGUUUAGUUUAGCCCGGUCGCGGUCGUAAAAAAACACUUUAUGUUUUUACUACUACAUUUAAGUACACGGGGGCUCGUGCCAAAUUUCAAUUUUUAAAAAUCUACCUAUUUUGAUAGUUAGUAGGUACCUAUGUAGGUACCUCCUUUUUGAAAAUUAAAAUUGAUGUCAGCUGAAGCUUUUGGAUUGGAGAGGGCCUUUUAGAAGAGAAAAUAAAUUUCAAAGCAGAGAGAAUUAAGAAAUAAAUUAAGCUAAUAUUACUUUAUGAAAAUACUUAUAACAACUUAUCUACUUUUUGAAAAUUAAAAUUUAACGAAAGAAACGUUCAAUCUGGCAGACGGCAAUCAAACCAUGUCAUAAUUUUUUUAUAUUUACCAAAAUUGUAAAACCAAAUUAUAAUAGAAAUAAAAUACAUAAUAAUAAUGAUAGAAAACUUGUAUCAUUUGCCAAACCCUGGCUUUAUUUGCCCUGAAUUUAUUUUUCCAUUUUAUUUAAGAAACUAUUGUGUUCGUAUUUGUUUCCAAAUUAAUGGGCCUAUGGAUUUAAAGCUCUUUAAAUGCUCUUUUACGUAUUUUAUUUACUAUUCAUAUUCAUAGGUAUUUUAGAAAAAUUGGUGCAAAACAAAUUUUGUUUUAGGUAAUCCUAAUUUUUGGUUUUGUAAAUUUUUUUUAAUCAUUAUAUUUUUCAAGAUAAAGUCGAAAAACUAUAUAAAUAAAGAGUUUCAACUAAGUUAAAGCUAUAUUAUUGUCAACGUUAACUGAUACGUGUGGUGACUAUAUUUUUCAUCAUUGUUCCUGACAGAAAAAGACGUCAAUAAUACUUGACAAGAAUAACUGAUCGUGUGUAGGGCCCUAUAUGGUAUCGUUCUUUUUUUUCUUCUACGUAUCAUCCUUAUUUAAGAAAGUGCAUUUUUAGUGCACACAAAAACAACACGCAGCUGCCGAUAAGAAUAGAAGUUAAACCAAGCUGCGGAUAGAAUUUUACCGAACUGUAGGUAUAAGUUUACGUUUUCCUUUCUCUUAGUGCCUUCAGUGUUAAUAUGUGGGAAAUCCUACUGGAAAUAGUUUUGCCAAAAAACACGCCUAAUGGGUGUGGGUCCUUAGCCCAACGUGUGCAUUUUACAUAAAAACAAGCAAAGCGGCAUUUAAUAAAUAAUAAUUUUAGGUAAUGGCUUAUUUGAUGCUGAAUCUAAUGGAACUUAAACCAAGACAAUUUGACUCCCCUGAAAAUAAUUUGAAAUUACGAAUCGUCAUAUAGUUUUUAUUACAUUUACCAUGUUUUAUGCAUCCAGGGUUUAUCUUAUAAGAAAAGUGUUGGCAACAUUUUGAAAAAAACUACUUUUGAGGUUAUGUUUUUAUGUGAAGACAUUUUUUUUUAAUAUAAAUUAUAACGGUUUCUAUAAGAACUAUAUUCCUUCUUUUAAGAUCUUUUUAAAUCUUUUCGAUAUCUUUUUUAUUGUUCGAGAUAUCGUCAGUUUUUUGGCUUAUUGUAAUGCAUAAAACAGAUAUCACGUUUUCAUCUUCUUCUUGAUAAAAACACACUUCAUUUUAAGAUAUCUCCGGCAGUAAAAAAGAUAUUGCAAAGAUUUAAACAGGUCUUGAAAGAAGGAAAAUAUAUAGAAACCGUUAUGAUUUAUAUUUAAAAAAAAAUUUUCAAAUUAAGGUAUAUCAUAAAAAGUGGUAAAAAAACUUUUUUUUUGCACUUUCUAACGGUAAUAUUUCCAAAACGGGAGCUGAUAGGAUGUUUCUGACUUCAGGUUCGAGUUCAGCACAUCAAAAACUUAUAGAAAAUUAUAUCAUAGUCUUGGCACCAAGAAAAAAAUUUAAUUUUCUAGACCAGUGUAAUUUAAAUUCACUUUAAUUGAUUUUUUUUCAAUACUUUAUUGAUUUUUUUUUAUAAAUAAAAAUAAUUUUCUUGACAAAAAAUAAUUAAAACAACCACAUAAGAAUUUGACACUUAGUCCAUGAAGAAAAAUGUAGAAGUGUUGUUAAUCACUCCGUCACUCCUUUUUCAGUUUUGGAAUUUGAAAUCACUCCUUCUGGGAGUGAUUAUAUAGCUAGGAGUGACAAUUUUUGAAUUUUGGAAAACGACAUAUCUAUCACAAUUGCAUAAGAAAAAUAGAGAAAAAAGGGUUGCUUAAAUGCAGCAAGAUUUCCGUAUGAAGCUGUAGCUAAAACUAUUCAAUUUACUUACAUCACGUAAAUGUGUUAUAAUCAGCCCUAUCGGCAAUACAAUUUCCCUGGAAAAAUUUCUCUAUUCCGAAAAAUCGGUAUCGCCAAUACUUUUUGAAUGGAAAAAUUUCCUAGGAAAAAAUUCCCACACAUAAAUACCGAUCGGGAAUGAAGUUUCUCCCCCGAAGUAUUUCUAUCAUAUUUUUUAUGGGGAACAGAUAUUUUGAAGCCAAAAUGUACGUAUUUUUCUUUCAAAAUAUUCUGUUAAAAAUAUUAAAUUAUUACUUAAUUAAUCCAACAAAAAGCAAAUGAUAUUGCAACUGGAUAACGAAAAAUAGUAGACAAAAAUAAAAUAUAAGAAAACCUUAAAAAAAAGCAUGGAACUAAAGGAGACCAUUCCGAGAGCAUUAGUUUGCUGCUUUGGUCGAAAAAAUGAUCAAAUUAUGUGGAAUGCCUCAAUUUAUUUCAGUUAUUUGUUUAUCAUGUCAAAAAAAAACAAAGCUUAAGAAACUUUAUUGAUUGAUUCCUUAAUUAAAAUUAAAAACACAAAACUAAUUACAUGUCCAUCUGAAGAAACAAACAAAGUAAUAAGUUGGGCAAAAAAUAAAAAAAAAUAUUGAAUAAAAAUCCACAAAUCAACACCAAAGAAAAAAAU